GCGGCCUUUCCAUUGGCUGUGGCCGUAUCGGACGCAGACAACGACACCAUCUUCGACUGCCUGAUCGCCAACCGAACUGAGAUCGACUACGAGGCGAAAGAAGCCACGUUCGUCUGGACCACCGGAGGGAUCGGCAAUGUGCCCAAGCAAGAGAUUCCAUUCGUAGUGACACCAGGAGCUACGCGUGGGACCAUAGACAUGCUUGUGGGAGACGAUCCAGACGUUAAGGAGGGCAUAUUCUACUACUUUGACCGCAAGUGCGUCGUGAUGGACCUCGAGUAUCACGGCCAUCAGUGCAUUCUUUGGACGCAGAAGUACCUGAUGCACAAUGUUCCUCCGGUGUGCCGCGACCAGUUCGUCGACACCUGCGGAGUAGUCAUUGCUCCACACAGAAGAGACCUUUGUUCCGACGACUAGGAAGACUACUUUAGCGGUCUGGAAAGAAGGUUACCCUCGCAUUCUGCAUGGUGUGGUCAAAUGCGAGGU